GAUGAACGCUGGCGGCGUGCUUAACACAUGCAAGUCGAACGGGAAUUAUUUUAUUGAAACUUCGGUCGAUUUCAUUUAAUUCUAGUGGCGGACGGGUGAGUAACGCGUGGGUAACCUGCCUUAUACAGGGGGAUAACAGUCAGAAAUGGCUGCUAAUACCGCAUAAGCGCACAGAGCUGCAUGGCUCAGUGUGAAAAACUCCGGUGGUAUAAGAUGGACCCGCGUUGGAUUAGCUUGUUGGCAGGGUAACGGCCUACCAAGGCGACGAUCCAUAGCCGGCCUGAGAGGGUGAACGGCCACAUUGGGACUGAGACACGGCCCAGACUCCUACGGGAGGCAGCAGUGGGGAAUAUUGCACAAUGGGGGAAACCCUGAUGCAGCGACGCCGCGUGAAGGAAGAAGUAUCUCGGUAUGUAAACUUCUAUCAGCAGGGAAGAUAGUGACGGUACCUGACUAAGAAGCCCCGGCUAACUACGUG
rnacentral:rRNA from 1 species